CCUACGGGAGGCUGCAGUGAGGAAUAUUGGUCAAUGGGCGCGAGCCUGAACCAGCCAAGUCGCGUGAGGGAGGACGGCCCUACGGGUUGUAAACCUCUUUUGCCGGGGAGCAACGGGCGUCCCGUGUGGCGCCACUGAGAGUACCCGGCGAAAAAGCCUCGGCUAAAUCCGUGCCAGCAGCCGCGGUAAUACGGAGGAUGCGAGCGUUAUCCGGAUUUGUUGGGUUUAAGGGAUACUGAGGCGGUUCGUUAAGUAAGUGGUCAAAUUGAGGGGAUCAACCCCUUCCCGCCAUUGAAACUGGCGCUCUUGAGUGGAAGAGAAGUAUGCGGAAUGCGUGGUGUAGCGGUGAAAUGCAUAGAUAUCACGCAGAACCCCGAUUGCGAAGGCAGCAUGCCGGCUUCCGACUGACGCUGAAGCACGAAAGCGUGGGGAUCGAACAGGAUUAGAUACCCCAGUAGUC
rnacentral:rRNA from 1 species